UACAAAGAAACACUGUAUGUACGAUUUAUUUCAUUUCAAAAAUUGAGAUUACAACUCUUCAAAAACUGACUUUACGUUUACAAACUAACAUAUUCAACAUAUGCAAAUUAAAAGAAGAGAAGGAAGAAGAGAAUGAAGAAAAAGACAUUUGGACUAAGUGCACAAAAUAUAAACAUACAAUACACACACAGUAGAAGUAAACAGACACAUAGACAGAAAUGACGAUGAACAUAAAAGUACAUGAGCACAGACAGGCACGCAAUUUGCAUUUUUUGAAAGAAAUAGGACUGGAAAAUAUGUCAGACUUCUCUUACAUAGAACGUUCCAAGGUUUGACAAUACAAUCUUAAUUAAAGAAAGAAAAUUGAAAAGUACAUGUAGUUGAACAGAGGAGUUUGAAGGACAGCA